UCUCUCUCUCUCUGUGUUGUAAUCUGAGCUUCUCCGUGCUUUGUUGACAUCACCAGGCGCGUGCUUUAGUUCAUACUCGUGCCUGUGAGUGUGCCCCACUGGCUAGCUCACAUAUUAAAUCAUAUAUUAAACUCUCUGCAGUAGCCUAUGUGAGUAAAAAUAGUUGUGAAUGCCAGUUAAUUUAUUAUUUUCCUCUUCACCAUGAGUCUGUUAGCUACUGUAACAUUUCAUGGUUAACCUUGAACCAGUCACUCCACAUGUUUCAGACCGGGUCCAACAAAAUGAUCAGGAAUUAUCAGUAAAUUUAUGUCUGUAGUCUUGAAUCCAUUCAAACAUCAUAAUUAAUCUACACCAGCACCAUUAAACGUAUGCCAAAUUAGCUGUUAAAAGUUGACAAUGUACACAUGGAUGUUCAAACAACUAUCAGACUUAAAAAAAAAGACUUAAAGAUUUCAUGGUUCUCAGGCAAGUCCGUGAGUUAUAAGGAGCAUCUUUUUCUAAGACUUUUAAGCAGAUUUAUGCACAUUAAUUUGUGAUGGACACCGGAUCUCCCCCCUCCCCCUUUUACUUGGAUACUGUUCACAAGUGACUUCAUUUACUGAAAUCCAUCAAAAGAUGUUUUUCUGCAUGUCAUUCCCGUUCUCAUCAUUUUCUCACUCUCAACUGUAAACCAUGAAUCAAACAGGAUGUUCACAGUGCUUUUACACAAAACAUAAGGGUCUCCUGUUUUGAGACUGUGCUAUGAAAUUCUAAACACCGUGAGGAAAAAAACGAAAUAACAGAAGCCUUUGACAUCCAAUGAGGGCAGAACAUUGGCUGUCAAUGUGAAUCACUUGGCGUGGGCUUCGUCUUUCCCGAAAUUCUGCGGCAAAAAAUGUGUGAGUAGGGCGGAAGGUAUGCAAAUAUCCUCUUAGACACAAAUAUGAAGUCGCUGUUAACGGAUGGGUUCAGACGGAGAAUGAAUCGAGGCAAGACAGUAGACCAACUGAGCGCGGGCGAGAGUGUGAGAUUGAGUGGCAUAGAGGGUCUCCGUCGGACAUGUAGCCAUGCGUAGCCAUGAGAACACAGCGCCUUUGUGCGGAAGAAUGUCGUUUUCAUAACAGCGCAUUUCUUCGGGGGUGACGGCGGACCAGCUUGGUCCAUCUGCUGAGCCUUUGUCAAACUAUCUUGCACUCCUUAAGCAGAAAAGAGGGAAACACGAUUAGCAUGCACCCCGCACCUUUUGCCACCACCCCUCUUUCCGCACACUAAAUGCCUGCACGUCCACCCUCCUCUCUCUCUCAUCACCCUCUUCCACAUAUUCCUCUCUCUUCAUAACUGGAUUACGGGUGGUAGAGGAGGGUCCAUUGUACAUUGUUGUGGCUUUCCCUGGUUCAAAUCCUCUUCACAAAGUGGGCGGGAGGGAACCGGGGAAGCCAGCAGGCACCUUUUGGGCUGUGAGGGGAGUUGUUGAGGUUGUGAAUGGACUAAGGGCACCGAGAGGCCCUCGCUGAUGUGGUGGCAUGAAAUACAACAAGCCAGAGUUCACUCACCCCCCGAGCUCUGGCAGGUUGUUCUUUUCGAAGGUUGAACUUCUCAUUAUGGUUUUCUACAUUCUCUCCACAUCUCCUUUUGUGAGUGUGUGCAUGUGUGUGUGUGUGUUUUUGUGUGGCUGGGUCAGUGGGGUGAGGGCCAUGUUUUGAGCUCGCACACUUAGCGCAGUUAGCCAGGCAUGCAUACUAACUGCAUAAAAGAUGUGGUUUAUUUUACAUUUAUCGACUGAAAUUGAACCAGAAGUCUCAAAAAUAUUUUUCACAUUUCCAUUUUUUUUGUGGGGGGCCUGAGAUCCCAGUAAGUAAGAGAUUUAAUAAAUUGUGCUCUCAAGUUUGUAAUAUGUGCUUUUAAAUAACUUAAUUUGUGUUAAUGAAUUAAAUAUGUGCAUACUAACAGACAUGCCCUUAAGCAAUAUUCCUAACAUUUUAACAUAUGUCAUGUUUUUAAACCACCACACACCCUCAAUAUAUCUACAUAUUUCGAUAUUUGGAUUAGAUUGUCCAUGGCAACUUUUACUGUUUAUUUUGCAUUGCAUUAACAUUGGGCUACACAGUGUUAUAUGUGCACCUUAUAGCAGCCUUUAAUGCUGAAACACAAUACAGUGUAGCAUCGCAGCUGUGAAAAACAAGUCUCAAGGGUAGGAGGGAAAAUGUAAUCAAUGCAAUAACCGAACAAUGUUGAUUUAAAGGAAAGAAAUCAGUAUUUUUAUAGGAGUCUCAAUAUCAAAACACAUCGUCUAGUCUACCACAAACACUCUGGGUGCUCCUCUCUAACUGACCGGAGCUAUAACAGCAUGUAACUUCACUUCCUGCUGUUACAAUAACUUCACCCUAAUUCAACGCUCUGUAUAUUUUUUCUGGAUGAAUGCUAACAGUGUUAAUUCAUUAUUUACAUAUUGUCAGAGUUACGUUUUGAAUGGAAACUUUUUCCAACUUUUAUUUCAAGUGAUUACGACUACUGGAGCCGCGAGCUUUGUUUCAGAGUGUGGACGUGGCUGGAUGCUGGAUGUCGCUGGUGCUGCGAAGAGAGGGAGAGGAGGCAACCGUGUAAUCCCAGUCAUUAGUGGGUUUUAACAGGAUUUGGUGCAGCUACAAUAAUGGAGACUCUAGUGGCCUCCACUGCGAGACCCAAAGAGACCCGACAGGGAAGAACUGGGGCCACAGAGGCUCGACUGUUCCAGAGGACUCAACUGAGAGAAGGAUCAAUGGCGGUUGUCCGGCUCGUUUCUAAUCUGAGGCAGCCAUUCCAGUUAUUCGGGGGGUCACAUACCUCGGUAGCCAUGUGUCAGAAUUCCCGUCGGCUUUGAGCGAGGAUGCAAGUGCGGGGCCGACGCACCAGCUAAACUGGAAAAGCAGACGCGGGAUAUAAGCGGGUGGCCUGCAGGGACCGAAUAAGAGGUGUGAUGGUUUUCUGUCGUUGUAUCCAUCUGGUGCAGUUUUCACAUCUCACAGCCUCCUGCUUCUUCAUAAUAGGUUCCAUUAUGCUAAGUGAUUGAGUCUGUGUCCUCGCUGAUAACUGGCUAGCUGGCCUUCCGUUCCACAGCAACGGGCCUAUCAGAUCUGACUGAGCAUGAUGCUAAUCUCUAUUAAGAUGGUUCAAGGUAAAGUCACCCUCCCAACCAAAGGGAAAUGACAGCCAGAGAGCAUCGCUGGGUGAGUACCCAAAGACUUUUAUUUGCAACACUGAAUACCAUUUGUAAGAGAGCCCUGGUGACUGACUUCUACAUAGAUCCACAGAUUACAAUAACGCUGUGAUUUGAACUGUUUUUCUCGUCACUCAAGUGUAACAAAGACACAUUGACACUGAAGCACUGAAGCUGUGUAUAAUCCUUUAAAAGCAACACUACUACUACUUUAUCAUCACUAGAUUUGUGUUUUUCUUUUUACUCUGUGUAUGGACAUCCGAUAAUCACCGCCCUCGACUCACAGAUAAUCAUCUUACCCUUAUAUGCACUGCUUUCCCAGUAUAUAUAACUGCUGCAUUUGCAUCUAGAGCUGCUGCUGCUGUAGAGCUGAGGAGAUGCAACAACAACACAAGCUAAUCCAAGCAAUGUGCCUCAGAGGGGUUUAGCUCAUGGGAGGGACUUAGAGGAGAGUGUGAGAGAGAAGGAGAGAGAGAGAGAGAGAGAGAGGAGAGGGACUCAAAGCAGUCAUUGUCCCUCCAGGAGCAGAUUAACUAUUUUAAAAGCAAAGGUGACGUCGAUCGUCGACUCGCUGUGCAGGCCGGGCAAACGCUCUCCAACUCCGUGUGAGAUGCCGUUUCUCUUUUCUAAUUGUUUGUCUCUCUUUUUCUCUUUCUCUACGGUGCACUCUUCCCUGAGCAAACACAUCUUUUGCUCCGUCUUUAUCUUUCUCAGCUCACUCUCCCUCCUCAUGUGCUCUUUCUUUCUUCUCAUUUAAUCAAGUAGGAGGCCGGGCAGUAAGCUCACUGAGAGCGGCUCCGGCAACAAUCAGAAUCUCCUGUGCAGGGAGCUGAGCCAAGGCCACGAUGAAACACCGGGGGCGCAGGGAGGACUGCCGAUUAAAAGUGGCUCCAAUGAGUGAAUGGGGGCCGUGGGGACUCUGCCCACGGGGGAGCAGCACAAAAUGGGUGACGAGAAAAAGGGGAGAGUACACAUGGGAUGCAGAGGAGCAGAGGGGGAUGACACUUGAGAGAAGAGGGAGGGGAAAGUAGGGCAUGAGGGAGCAGAGAAUGGGGUGUAAAUAUGAGGGUGUCUUGUGAAUGUGUGGGGGGGAUGAAGAGGGGUGAGGUGAGGAGGCGCCACAAAUAAUCUACACAAGGGAGUAAUGAGAUAAGUGCUAGACUAGAAGGAGAGAAGGUAGGGGCGAGGAAAGAGAGGGCGCUACACACAGGAUACACUCGUGUUUACUUAAAGGAAAACAAAGACUGGCACGGAAAAGCAUGGCAUGGAAAUGCAAAUAAAUCCCCCCUCGCAAACCAAAGUGUUUUUAUUAACUCUACGAAGCAGCAUGAAAGAUGGAGGGAGGCCAGGGAGAAGUAAAAAAGCAACACUCCAAUCAUCUCAUUUCUCUUGCCUUUUCUUCCUGAAUAUGUAAGAAUGUGUAAACAACGUUGUAAUAAUUCGCUAAGGACUCAUACUUUCCUCACUCCGCUCUCCUCGCACAACAGUGCUCUUGUGCGAUCUGCAUAAUGCAUGAGCUCUGUGUAUAGAUCGUCAAGGGAAAAAUUGGGCACGGCACUAACAAUGGGAAGCAAGCGAACUUUAUGUAUAUGUGCAUAAUAUGUAGUCCUGAUGAAUUAUUACAUAAGCCCUUCAGCGCUUUCCUGGAUAAACUGUAGGAGUGCUCUUUCUUCGCAGUAUGAAGACAUCCCACCUUUAAGUGUUCACUGAGAAGAAACAUCCUGUUGAUACACUCCAGCACUCCUGCACAUAGGGACACACACACACUAGAUGAACAUGCUGCACAUGAACGCACAUGAAGGCCUUUAUGUCGUAUCUGUCAUUCUCUCUCUCUCUCUCUCUCUCUCUCUCUCUUGCUUUUUCUCU